GACAGAGGGUGCAAACGUUGUUCGGAAUUACUGGGCGUAAAGGGCGCGUAGGCGGACAGUUUAGUCAGAGGUGAAAGCCCAGGGCUCAACCUUGGAAUUGCCUUUGAUACUGGCUGUCUUGAGUUCGGGAGAGGUGAGUGGAAUGCCGAGUGUAGAGGUGAAAUUCGUAGAUAUUCGGCGGAACACCAGUGGCGAAGGCGACUCACUGGCCCGAUACUGACGCUGAGGCGCGAAAGCGUGGGGAGCAAACAGGG
rnacentral:rRNA from 1 species